UUUCACAAUUUAAUUCAAAAACAGAUUAUUGAACGUGUCAAUAAAUCUCGAGCUUUUUCUAUAACAGCAGAUGAAACUGCAGAUAUAGCCGGCAUAGAACAACUUUCAAUCUGUGUACGGUAUUUAAAUUAUAAGGACAGUAAUUAUAAAAUAUGUGAAGAUUUUUUAAGCUUUAUCCCUGUUGAAGAUGUAACAGGGAAAGGUUUAUCAAAUGCUAUUUUGAAUUUCCUAGAAUAUUCUGUAAUAGAUUGUACAUAUUUAUUUGGGCAAGGUUAUGAUGGGGCUAAUACUAUGAGUGGUGAACUUCACGGAGUUCAAUCUUACAUAAAAAAAAAAUAUAAUUUAGCUCUAUACUCACACUGUGCUGCCCAUAGUUUCAAUUUAGCAGUUAGUGCUGCAUGUAGUAGCCCUCAAGUCAAAAACUGCCUUGGUACAGUCCAAUCUAUUUAUAACUUCUUUAAUACCCCAAAAAGGCAAAUUGCACUUCAGGAUGCAAUAAAAAAUAAUGACACUUUGUUACAAAAAAAAAAAAAGAAACUUAAAAAAUAUUGUGCAACAAG